rnacentral:rRNA from 1 species
UACGAGAGGCGCAAACGUUAUUCGGAUUUACUGGGCUUAAAGAGUUCGUAGGCGGCGCAGCAAGUAGGGUGUGAAAGCCCUCGGCUCAACCGAGGAAUUGCGCUCUAAACUACUGUGCUUGAGGGACCUAGAGGUGAGCGGAACUGAUGGUGGAGCGGUGAAAUGCGUUGAUAUCAUCAGGAACACCGGAGGCGAAGGCGGCUCACUGGGGGUCUUCUGACGCUGAGGAACGAAAGCCAGGGGAGCGAACGGG